ensembl:misc_RNA 7SK 7SK RNA
GGCUGUGAGGGCCAUCUGGCUGCACCAGGGUGGAUUUGGCCGAUGUGGCUAGAUGGGCAGGUGUCCCCUUCCUCCCUCACUGCUGCAGGUGCGCCCCUCCUGCAGGUGUGCACUGGGUCAGAGAGGAGGACCACCCCCCGAUAGAGGAGGACAUUUCCUUGGUCACGCCUACAGGAGUAGCUGCACUCCCUGGUAGAACCGCCAAACAAGGUCCUGUUUUAGAUUUGUUCUAGCGGCCAGAAUUUUCUUAACUAGCCAAGAAAUUG